GCAAACUCUUUUUGGGGGUGGUCGACCCUGCAACAUGUCUGAUGCCCUGUGAGUGUUGGUGAGAGUCUCCCUAACCUGGGGCUCUCUUCAAGAACCAGCAUAUGGGCAUUGACCUCUGGAGACCUCUUUUUCAGCUGCAGGAAAUUUUUUCAGAUACUGUGAUUGAAAAAUCACUCCAGCUGUGGAUAAGUAAGGAAUAAAGGAAGAGGAAAAGGGCUUGGAGUAAAGUAGAAGAGAAGGACAGAAGAUUAGGGAGACUGGGGUCUUGGAAGCAGGGCUUCGGGUGAGAGACGAGCAGAGGUGGGGAGGUGCCCGGCUCCGGAACCAGCUCCUGCACCUGUCCGUGCACCCAAGCCACACAGCAUUUAAUUGGCCCAGGACGCUAUCUUGUCUGGAUGUCACCCUGAGCAGAACCUUGAGAAUCAAAGGAUCUGAGAAGCAGGAGCAAAGAACUCAGGGAGAGAUCCAGGAAGACAUCUGACUCUGUUAAGAGACGACAGUCACAGUGACACAGGGAGCGAAGACACUUGCAGCAAAGCAAAAUGACUUCACAACGAUUGCAUCAGAGCUGCAGGUGUGAGAGAGCCUAAACCUGUCUCAGAGUGCAGGGGACAAGUGGAAAGGAAUGUGUAAGAAUGCCGGUGACUCAGUUAGAAGCAUACUUCGAAGCUGUCCGUUUACUUGCCAUCC